rnacentral:rRNA from 1 species
UGGGGAAUUUUGGACAAUGGGCGAAAGCCUGAUCCAGCAAUGCCGCGUGUGUGAAGAAGGCCUUCGGGUUGUAAAGCACUUUUGUCCGGAAAGAAAUCCUUGGCUCUAAUACAGUCGGGGGAUGACGGUACCGGAAGAAUAAGCACCGGCUAACUACGUGCCAGCAGCCGCGGUUAAUACGUAGGGUGCAAGCGUUAAUCGGAAUUACUGGGCGUAAAGCGUGCGCAGGCGGUUUGCUAAGACCGAUGUGAAAUCCCCGGGCUCAACCUGGGAACUGCAUUGGUGACUGGCAGGCUAGAGUAUGGCAGAGGGGGGUAGAAUUCCACGUGUAGCAGUGAAAUGCGUAGAGAUGUGGAGGAAUACCGAUGGCGAAGGCAGCCCCCUGGGCCAAUACUGACGCUCAUGCACGAAAGCGUGGGGAGCAAACAGGAUUAGAUACCCUGGUAGUCCAGCGCCCUAAACGAUGUCAACUAGUUGUUGGGGAUUCAUUUCCUUAGUACGUAGCUAACGCGUGAAGUUGACCGCCUGGGGAGUACGGG